AAUGAACGCUGGCGGCGCGCCUAAUACAUGCAAGUCGAGCGAGAAGACGUAGCAAUACGUUUGUAAAGCGGCGAACGGGUGAGGGAAUACAUGGGUAACCUACCCUCGAGUGGGGAAUAACUAGCCGAAAGGUUAGCUAAUACCGCGUACGCUUCUUGGACUUCGGUUCAGGGAGGAAAGCGAUGCCGAGGGUAUCGCGCUCUUGGAUGGGCUCAUGUCCUAUCAGCUUGGUUGGGAGGUAACGGCUCACCAAGGCUUCGACGGGUAGCUGGUCUGAGAGGACGAUCAGCCACACU
rnacentral:rRNA from 1 species